rnacentral:rRNA from 1 species
UACGGAGGGUGCAAGCGUUAUCCGGAUUCACUGGGCUUAAAGGGUGCGUAGGUGGGCAGGUAAGUCAGUGGUGAAAUCUCCGGGCUUAACUCGGAAACUGCCAUUGAUACUAUCUGUCUUGAAUACCGUGGAGGUUAGCGGAAUAUGUCAUGUAGCGGUGAAAUGCUUAGAUAUGACAUAGAACACCUAUUGCGAAGGCAGCUUACUACGCAAAUAUUGACACUGAGGCACGAAAGCGUGGGUAGCAAACAGG